rnacentral:rRNA from 1 species
UACAGAGGUCUCAAGCGUUGUUCGGAUUCAUUGGGCGUAAAGGGUGCGUAGGCGGCGCGGUAAGUCGGGUGUGAAAUCUCGGGGCUUAACUCCGAAACUGCAUUCGAUACUGCCGUGCUUGAGGACUGGAGAGGAGACUGGAAUUUACGGUGUAGCGGUGAAAUGCGUAGAGAUCGGCAGGAACACCCAGGGGGAAACCAGUCGACUGGGCAUCUACUGACGCUGAGGUGCGAGAGCGUGGGGAGCGAACCGG